rnacentral:rRNA from 1 species
UACGGAGGGUGCAAGCAUUGAUCGGAUUUACUGGGCGUAAAGGGCGCGUAGGCGGCCUGAAAAGUCGAUCGUGAAAUCCCCGGGCUCAACCCGGGAAUUGCGGUUGAUACUAUCGGGCUAGAGAAUAGUAGAGGAAAGCGGAAUAGAAGGUGUAGCGGUGAAAUGCGUAGAUAUCUUCUAGAACACCGGUGGCGAAGGCGGCUUUCUGUGCUAUAUCUGACGCUAAGGCGCGAAAGUGUGGGGAUCAAACAGG